rnacentral:lncRNA from 1 species
ACACGUUUAUUGUUGAAAACUAUAUACAUGGAUGACCAUGCGGCCAGAGCUAGCCCUUAGUAAAAAUUAUCCAGUUCUCUUUUGUUGAAAACUAUAUAGAUAGAUGAUCAUGUGACCAGAGCUAGCUCUCAACAACAAUAUCCAGUUCUCUUUUGUCCGUCGCUUUCUUAUAGCAAAGCUGAAUUGCUCGUUCCUAUAUCUAUGCCAUUACAAAUGAGAAGACUCCAUGUUACCUGGUGUUUAUCAAGUCAAAAAAGAAUGACAUUUAGCACGGAAGGAUGAAACUUCUGGGCAUCAAUCUUGUGUACAUAUGAAUUAUGAAGCAAAAGAUACAGACUGCAGAGUGAGAAAUGACCAACGUAAAACAAUAUAAUUUGUGUACUGUAAGAAUGAAACACUGAAGAACCAAUAUACUCCCUCCAUAAAGAAAUAUAAGAGCGUUUAAAUAACUAAAGUAGUAAUCUAAACACUGUUAUAUUUCUUUACAGAGGGAGUACUUCUUAUGGUAAUAAUUCAUAUCCAAAAAAGUAAUCGAUGAAGGGGCAUCCGACACUAAUUUAACCAGACAUUUGAAUAAAACAUGUAAGAAUUAUCCAACCAAUUACUGCAAUGGGCUUACUGUCAGUAUACACCUUACAAAGGCUAAUUAAUUAUGAGAGACCUUAACGUCUCAAAAAGCUUAAUGCCUAGAAAUUUGCCAUCCCUAGAAAGAAAAUAAUCACAGCUUGUACUUAGUAACACACAUAAAAAAUACAGUCCAGUCGAUUUCGUUUUGACAGAACUACUGGUGAGCAUGCCAUUCAGCUGCCGUAUCACUAAAAGGUAGCCGCCAAUGGGACCUGUAGAAACCUAAACAUGUAGAAUAAAAUAGCAUCCAAAAUUGUAUCAUAAAAGGGAACUGAUACUCAGGCCAAGAUAAAGCUUACAUCACGGCCACACACACACGCUCAGUCACAAUCAACGUAGUCGGCCUGUGAGAGGAGCUUGUGUAUACAUAUUGGACACUACCUGCAUAUAUAUAGAUUAUUGCGAUGGAAGUCUCGGGCGUAAUGUGGAGAUGGAUGGUUCAAGCAGAGCGAUAACAUGUAUACAUGUCAAUUAUACACAUAGAAAAUAAUACAGUGGUUACUUAUCGGAAAUGGUAACCCACAACAUUUUACUCAUGCUGGAGGGCAUAAAUCGUUGCAUACUUAUCAAUUUCAGUUACUGUUUCAACUGGAAACAUGCAAGCGGAAUUCGGAGAAUAGAUAAUAUCGCCAUCAUUCAAAUGCACGAUAAAAAAAGUGGUACGAAAUUUGUUGACGCCGCCUCCUCGUGGUGCCGCUUCUUCUUCUUCCUCUCCUCUCACAACUCUCACUUGUGUUUCUCUCUUCUUCUCUCAAGAACACACACAAGAGAAAGAAGACUCAACACACACACGCACGCAUACCUCACCAGAGGAACCUAGCUUUGCCUCUUCCUCCCGGUGAUACACACGUAUGCUACAUCUUUUUCUCCAGUCUUCACGGCCUUUUUCCAUUACUGAAUGAGAUGACUAUUUAUACAAAGUUUGGCACUCAGCCAAGACCCACGCACUCACGCCGGCCAUCACACUCGGCCAUCACGUCUCCAGACUAGUUGCUCCACUAACCAACUAACUACAUGAACUAACCCAUGAUCUUAUCUUCUCCUAGAAUCUCUCUAGGGUCCAAAGACUAGUACGUGCAUGCAGCUGACAACUAGAUAACUACUCCACGCAUGCAGCUAACAAACUAACUGACUCUCUCAGUUCGACUAGACAUGAUUAAUCCUAACAUUCACCUCCCUAAUCUUGUCAUGUCAACUCCUCUAAUCUUGAUGCAGAUCACCUGCAACCUCUUGCCAUGAACUUUGCCUUCGCAGCACCAUCGCCCCGUCAUCGCGGCCGAUCCAUCUCGCCGAAGGCAUCACACCACCACGUAGACCACCGUCGACCAGCUUCAUGUUGAUCCUCAUGACGGCUUCACACCGCCGUACAUCUUGUCAGCAGCAUCUCACUGCCGUCUUCUUGGAACGGCAUCUCACCGUCGUCUUCUCGUGGUAGCAUCACACUGCCACUGCUAGCGCCGGACGGCAUCGCGCCGCCGCCGCACCAAGCGGCAUCGCACCGUCUCCUUCUUGUGGCGGCAUCACACCGCCGCCUCCUCCUCGCGGCAUCGCACCGCAGUCUCCUUGUCGCCGCAGCAUCACGCUGUGGCCUCCUCUUGACGUGGACGACGCCUUCGCGACACCGAUCACCACGCUGUCUUGCUGCACGCAGUGACCACCUCUUGACGUGCACGACACCUCGACGCUGAUCAUCACGUCGGCUGAAUCUAGCGGUAUCACACCGCAACGGGCCACCAGCGGAACCACGCCGCCGAUGACCUCCACCUCGCAUCGUCGACCUCCGCAUCACAUGGAGUCCACCGCGCCGCCACGCAGGAGCUCCACAGCCUCCAUGCCACCGUGCAGCGCCGCCGCGCUCGCCGAGGUGUCGCGCACCUCCAUAGGCCGACACGAGACCCGGAACUUCAUCGCGCGCCGCCGACGGACGCCGCCACCGUCGGCACACCUCCGGCCGGCAAGAGCAAUGACGCCCCAAGACAACCAAGCUCAUGAUACCAAUUGUUGACGCCGCCUCCUCGUGGUGCCGCUUCUUCUUCUUCCACUCCUCUCACAACUCUCACUUGUGUUUCUCUCUUCUUCUCUCAAGAACACACACAAGAGAAAGAAGACUCAACACACACACGCACGCGUACCUCACCAGAGGAAACUAGCUUUGCCUCUUCCUCCCGGUGAGACACACGUAUGCUACAUCUUUUUCUCCAGCCCUCACGGCCUUUUCCCAUUACUGAAUGAGAUCACUAUUUAUACAAAGUUUGGCACUCAGCCAAGACCAACGCACUCACGCCGGCCAUCACACUCGGCCAUCACGUCUCCAGACUAGUUGCUCCACUAACCAACUAACUACAUGCACUAACCCAUGAUCUUAUCUUCUCCUAGAAUCUCUCUAGGGUCCAAAGACUAGUACGUGCAUGCAGCUGGCAACUAGAUAACUACUCCAUGCAUGCAGCUAACAAACUAACUGACUCUCUCAGUUCGUCUAGACAUGAUUAAUCCUAACAAAAUUGAAAGAUUUCUGUUAACUUAGAAAAUCUGAAUAUUAUUGUCAGAGUGCAACAUUAUUUUAGUUUAAUAAAAAAACCAAAAAAUGCUUGAUCAUUCAGAACUUCUUUGGAAGUCAAGUUAAAGUCAAGGUGGAUUAAUCUUCUUAGGAGAAAUGACCAAGUAUAUGUGCUAUAUUUAAUCUUCAGUUUAGGUUCUAGAUUAACUGAUUAAGCCGUCUAUGCAAGUGAACAUACAAAAGACUGGAGAAAUUCAAAUUAGAUAAUCUAGUUAUCCAAGCAUACCAUGAAAUAAAUCGAAGAAUCAGUCCAAAAACAAAUACAAGAGCAUGUGCACUGAAGAGGGAAACAAUGUAUCGAUACAUUGAUUUCCCAAAAACAAAUGAUGUAAUUAUGUGGCAAUAGGAAGAUGGAUUCCGGGAGGUAGAAAGCUAUGGACAAGCGAACCAACACUAUACGUACAGAAGCCAAAAUUCAAGUCAAACCUGCAGUAGCAGGAAUAGUUACAAUGUGAUCAAUGACGCGAAUUGGAGGUAGUUAAAAUCAUAUAAGGACUACAUAUCCUAUUUGCAACCUACUUAAAAAUAGUAUGGUAGUGAUUAAGUUUUCUCACAUAUUGUUUUUACAGUUCCUAGUCUAGAUUACUAUUUGGAAAAGUAGAUAUAGUGUCACGCAUGUACACUAGACAUUCUGCUGCACACAAUGGAACACAUAAAUCUGUUAGUUUCGUAAAAACAUAUUUAGCUGACAAUAUUCGGAUCAUUAUCAACAUAUAUACCUCCCCGCUCUAAAUAUGCAAAUCACUAAUAGGGCACACUGAUACAUAUUUUGUAUAAGUUAGCAUCUCUAAAAUCUAGACACUGGAACUCCAAAAAAAAAUAUCAUAUUAUCAGGAAUGAACCUAGGAAAUAUGGAUUCCAUGGUUACAUUUGCAGGGAAAUUUCAUAUGGGUGUUUAAUAAUAAUAAAACAUAGAUUUGGAUCCCUUUUCAAACACGGUACAUGUAUGUGCUGUAAAUAGAACCUAUAUAACUCAAGUACGCCGUACAUCUAGCUUAAUUUUUGCAUGGGCAACAAUUUGAUCUUACUGCAGAUCUGCCAAAGAUAGAUAUAUAUACCACUACCAUGCGAUAAUCUAACAAUUAGCGUUUACUCGGAAGAAAUAACAUACAACAUCGAAAUUCAUUCCAUAGGAAUCGUCAACUAUUUUUGUUGUCUAACAAAUGGUCGCACGGGAAGACAUGUGUAAAGCUUCCCGUGUAAACAGUUAAUGUAAAUUGGCAGGUUGGCAGUGGCAGUUGAUGUGGAUGUAGUUUAACAGAAACUUGCUGCAUGGUGCCACUUUAGGCGAGAUCACAUUCUAGCUGGUUCUCACCCACUCGCCCAAAUGUAUAAUCUGAUGUAGAGAAGUGAUGAAGAUAGAUAUAGAAAAAGGCCUUUUGUUGUUGAUGAGAUGUGAUGGAUUAAGCCGACUUAUUAGGGGUUCAGUGAUGAAUUAAACGGAUGGAGGAGCAGGGAUUUAACAAUGCAAGGCGAUUUACCAGUGGAGUGGGGCAGGAAUAACGGGAGACUGACUCGAGUAGGGCUUCGAUUGUAAGUUAAGGUGCCACCAGUCCAACGUAAUUGCUCAACUUGACGGCCUCAAGUACCAAUCGGGGCCUCCUUUCUUGAAACCAUCAUGCGUACUACACCUCCUCAUAUGAUGCAUCAACCAUCUAUAUUUAAAAACUUGAAAUAAGAAGAGUUCUAAUGGUUGGGUGCGGAGAAAUUGGAUUGCUUCACUGAUCAUAACAUUGCAAUGAAAUACAAAAAAGAGGUCUGUAUACAUGGUACUCCAAGAAUAACAAUGCGAGUUUGAUACAUAUACAUAGUAAGAAAAAAAUACUAAUGUUACAACAAAAAUCAAAAGCCUAGAUAGAGCCCUAAAACACAAAUUAGUAAUCCCCACAAAAAAACACAAAUUAUUAAUGCUAUUGUGAUGCAACCUUUUUCAGAUCGAAACAACAUGCAGAUCCGACAUCUUUUUCUAGAUCAAAGGGGCACACCAAUCUAAUGGAAAAUAGAAACGCACAUGGCUUACUUGAGAUCAUCACUACGGCCCCGGAUAUGAAAAGUUGAAAUAAGAGGAGAUUUAAAUAUUUCAUAGGGGCGGGAUUGAGAAGAGAUUGGGUUGCAGCACGGAUGGCCGGUGACCUGCAACGGAGAACAAAGAGGGAAACGGAGCCGGCUGGGCGCGCGGCGACGGAGUACCUUGGGGCGCGAAGGAGGCUGAAGCUUCUGCUCACCGGCCAUGAAUGGGAGCGCCGUCUAGGUCAUGGAGAGCAGCGGAGGAGAAGACGGGUUGCCGGCUAUGAAUGGGAGCGCCGCCUAGGGGCAUGGAGAGCAGCAGAGGAGGAACAAUGGAGGAGGAGAAGACGGGCCAAAGGAGCAGAUAUUUUUGUAUUCUGUAUUAUUAAAUUAAAAGAGAGGAGGCGUG